GAUGAACGCUGGCGGCGUGCCUAAUACAUGCAAGUCGAGCGAACAGAUGAGGAGCUUGCUCCUCUGACGUUAGAGGCGGAAGGGUGAGGAACACGUGGAUAACCUACCUAUAAGACUGGGAUAACUUCGGGAAACCGGAGCUAAUACCGGAUAAUAUAUUGAACCGCAUGGUUCAAUAGUGAAAGACGGUUUUGCUGGCACUUAUAGAUGGAUCCGCGCCGCAUUAGCUAGUUGGUAAGGUAACGGCUUACCAAGGCAACGAUGCGUAGCCGACCUGAGAGGGUGAUCGGCCCCACUGGAACUGAGACACGGUCCAGACUCCUACGGGAGGCAGCAGUAGGGACUCUUGCGCAAUGGGCGAAAGCCUGACGGAGCAACGCCGCGUGAGUGAUGAAGGUCUUCGGAUCGUAAAACUCUGUUAUUAGGGAAGAACAAAUGUGUAAGUAACUAUGCACGUCUUGACGGUACCUAAUCAGAAAGCCACGGCUAACUACGUG
rnacentral:rRNA from 1 species